AUGGCCGCCUACAAACUGGUGUUGAUCCAGCAUGACAAGAGCUCGCAGAACCUGGAGAACUACUUCAGCGGCUGGUACUACUCCGACCUGAGCCCGACGGGCCACGAGGAGGUGAAGCACGGCGGGCCGGCAUGCUGGCUAUGAGUUCGACACCUGCUUCACCUCAGUGCAGAAGAGAGCGAUCCGCACCUUCUGGACAGUGCUAGAUGCCACCGAUCAGAUGUGGCUGCCUGUAGUGGGGACUUGGCGCCUCAAUGAGCGGCACCAUGGGGGCCUUACCGAUCUCAAUAAAGCAGAAACUGCUGCAAAGCACGGUGAGGCCCAGGUGAAGAUCUGGAAGCGCUCCUAUGAUGUCCCGCCACCUCCGAUGGAGCCCGACCAUCCUUUCUACAGCAACAUCAGUAAGGAUGGCAGGUAUGCAGACCUCACAGAAGAUCACCUACCCUCCUGUGAGGGUCUGAAAGACACUAUUGCCAGAGCUCUGCCCUUUUGGAAUGAAAAAAUAGUUCCCCAGAUCAAGGAAAGAAAAUGGGUACUGAUUGCAGUCCAUGGCAACAGCCUCCGGGGCAUUGUCAAGCAUCGGGAGGGCUUCUCUAAAGAGGCCAUCAUGGAGCCGAACCUGCCGACUGCUACUCCCAUUGUGUAUGAAUUGGACCAGAGCUUGAAGCCCAUCAGGCACAUGAAGUUUCUAGAGAAUGAAGAGACCGUGCCUAAAGCCAUGGAAGCUACAGCUGCCCAGGGCAAGGCCAAGAAGUGAAGGGCGGUGGGUAGGCUACUGUCCCCAGGAGCACCCUCCCUGCCCAUCCGGUUCCUCUGCCCCUCCCUCCUUCACACGUCACACGUCACACGGCAUCGGUAGGCAUCUUGAGCUGUGGCUACAGAUGGGGACCACUGGCUCCCAUUUUCAUUUUAGCCAUUUUGUCUCCUGCACCCACUCCCUUCAUACAUUCUAGCUAGAAUAGCACUUCUAGGGCACAGGUUCUCAAUCUAAGCCGUGGAAAGUCUCCCCUCGUCUAAGAGAGUUGAAGGUAGUGACUUGGGUUUUUGCAAGUGCUUUGUUUACUAAGGACGUGUGGGGAGGAACCCUGCUAAGCCAUGACCAAUCAGGAGACGCAAGAGGGCCUGACUGCCCCCAGGAGCCAGUCCUCUGCUCUUCUGCCGUCAGGCCACUGCCUG